CCUACGGGGGGCUGCAGUGGGGAAUAUUGGACAAUGGGGGCAACCCUGAUCCAGCCAUGCCGCGUGUGUGAAGAAGGCCCUCGGGUUGUAAAGCACUUUCAGUGAGGAAGAACGCCUGGUGGUUAAUACCCAUCAGGAAAGACAUCACUCACAGAAGAAGCACCGGCUAACUCCGUGCCAGCAGCCGCGGUAAUACGGAGGGUGCGAGCGUUAAUCGGAAUUACUGGGCGUAAAGCGCGCGUAGGUGGCUUGAUAAGCCGGUUGUGAAGGCCCCGGGCUCAACCUGGGAACGGCAUCCGGAACUGUCAAGCUAGAGUGCAGGAGAGGAAGGUAGAAUUCCCGGUGUAGCGGUGAAAUGCGUAGAGAUCGGGAGGAAUACCAGUGGCGAAGGCGGCCUUCUGGACUGACACUGACACUGAGGUGCGAAAGCGUGGGUAGCAAACAGGAUUAGAUACCCCAGUAGUC
rnacentral:rRNA from 1 species